AGAUAGCCAAAAACUAAACAAAAUUUCUAGAUAUUAGUAUAGAAUAAUCUAGAACGGCAUUUAAUGCGCCGAACCAGUGCCCAAUCAGAAUUUGCUGAAUUCUGUCAUCCCAUCUUUCCAUCAUUUCACUACCUAGUUGACGAUUUCAAUCUUUAGAAAGCUUUUCCUUUCAAAACAUUUCAUUUUCCUUUUUGUUUUGAAGCUUUCUCUCUUCAUUUCUUCAUCUCUGGAAGCUUUCCUAGUCUGGUUCACACAUCCAAUCGAACCUUUUUUGUUUUUUGGUGUACUCAAGGACCUUCAUUUCCAAGUAUAUCUCAUUUUGUCUUUUUAGAGUUUCUGUUGCAAGAAUAUGUGCAAGAGUUUUUGCAGAUCUCAAUGGAAUCUCCUUCGAAGAUGAUUGACUGCCAUCCAUUUUCGGCUCCUAUUUGAACUGCUUUCCAAUAGGCUAUUCCUUCAGCAGCAAAUAUAGAAGUUAUACCAUUAUAGAUCUCUGAGCAGGAUAAAAUAAUUUUUCCUUCCGCAUUUCUAACCACAAUACCUGAAACUGAACGAUUUUGACUCAUGUUGCAUGCACUGUCGAAGUUAAUCUUGAUGAACUCACAAGGGCCCAAAGUGCACAAUAGAAAAGGCGACAUUGACAAGGGGUAAACUGCUCAAACACCCAGCUCUUUCUCCAUAUCGGGGGCAGCUUGUGUUUGUUGCCAACUUCCUGUACUGCAUAUUUACCUUUGUAGGAAAAUAAUUCCAUGAGAGUCUCCAGAUUGUAAUCUUUAUUUUUUUUUGGUAGAUUUAGGCUCCAAAGUUUUUUUUGUAAAAUUUCCUGUAGAUAGUUUGUACAGCGUAAGCUCUAGGAUUUUCAUCAGAACUCUGUAAUAGUUUAUAGGCACUUUAGACCGAGACUUCACCCGACGUUUCUCCCCCAGAUGAGGAAGUCCUCGUGAGGUGUUCAUGCCAAGGGGAUCCGAAGGACUCUUCCAGUGUCUUCUUCUGUGAAGGUACUAUUUACCAGCUCCCUCUUCUAAAGUCUAUUAUUGCUAUCAAUAAACUCAUUUACCUUAAAA